rnacentral:rRNA from 1 species
GAUGAACGCUGGCGGCGUGCUUAACACAUGCAAGUCGAGCGAAGCAAUCUAAGUGAAGUUUUCGGAUGGAUCUUGGAUUGACUGAGCGGCGGACGGGUGAGUAACGCGUGGAUAACCUGCCUCACACAGGGGGAUAACAGUUAGAAAUGACUGCUAAUACCUCAUAAGCGCACGGCAUCGCAUGAUGCAGUGUGAAAAACUCCGGUGGUGUGAGAUGGAUCCGCGUCUGAUUAGGUAGUUGGUGGGGUAACGGCCCACCAAGCCGACGAUCAGUAGCCGACCUGAGAGGGUGACCGGCCACAUUGGGACUGAGACACGGCCCAAACUCCUACGGGAGGCAGCAGUGGGGAAUAUUGCACAAUGGGCGAAAGCCUGAUGCAGCGACGCCGCGUGAGUGAAGAAGUAUCUCGGUAUGUAAAGCUCUAUCAGCAGGGAAGAAAAUGACGGUACCUGACUAAGAAGCCCCGGCUAACUACGUGCCAGCAGCCGCCGUAA